GAGUUUGAUUCUGGCUCAGGAUGAACGCUGGCGGCGUGCCUAACACAUGCAAGUCGAACGAAGAAUUUUUUGGAAGUUUUCGGAUGGAAGAAAAAUUACUUAGUGGCGGACGGGUGAGUAACGCGUAAGUAAUCAACCUACAACACACGAAUAACUAGGAGAAAUCUUAGCUAAUACGAGAUGAAGUAAGUAUAUCGGGAGAUAUAAAUAUGAAAGCUGAGGCGGUUGUAGACGAGCUUGCGUCUGAUUAGCUAGUUGGCAGGGUAAGAGCCUACCAAGGCGACGAUCAGUAGCCGGCCUGAGAGGGUGAACGGCCACAUUGGAACUGAGAGACGGUCCAAACUCCUACGGGAGGCAGCAGUGGGGGAUAUUGCACAAUGGGCGAAAGCCUGAUGCAGCAACGCCGCGUGAGCGAAGAAGGCUUUCGAGUCGUAAAGCUCUGUCGUAUGGGAAGAAAAAAAUGACAGUACCAUACAAGAAAGCCCCG
rnacentral:rRNA from 1 species